rnacentral:tRNA from 1 species
CGGGGUGUGGCUCAGUCCGGUUAGAGCGCCACGUUCGGGACGUGGAGGUCGCCGGUUCAAAUCCGGCCACCCCGA